GAAUAGCAAGAAAAAGUGGACUACAAAAACGAUGAGAGUACAAUUUCAAGAACAAACAGGUCUACAGGCCUAUAAUGGCUGCUAUAAGAUGGAUGAUGCAAGUGAUGGUACAAGUGACCGACA
rnacentral:ribozyme from 1 species